GACGAACGCUGGCGGCGUGCUUAACACAUGCAAGUCGAACGGAAAGGCCCUGCUUUUGUGGGGUGCUCGAGUGGCGAACGGGUGAGUAACACGUGAGUAACCUGCCCUUGACUUUGGGAUAACUUCAGGAAACUGGGGCUAAUACCGGAUAGGAGCUCCUGCUGCAUGGUGGGGGUUGGAAAGUUUCGGCGGUUGGGGAUGGACUCGCGGCUUAUCAGCUUGUUGGUGGGGUAGUGGCUUACCAAGGCUUUGACGGGUAGCCGGCCUGAGAGGGUGACCGGCCACAUUGGGACUGAGAUACGGCCCAGAAUCCUACGGGAGGCAGCAGUGGGGAAUAUUGCACAAUGGGCGGAAGCCUGAUGCAGCAACGCCGCGUUCGGGAUGACGGCCUUCGGGUUGUAAACCGCUUUCGCCUGUGACGAAGCGUGAGUGACGGUAAUGGGUAAAGAAGCACCGGCUAACUACGUG
rnacentral:rRNA from 1 species